UACGGAGGGUGCAAGCGUUGUCCGGAAUCACUGGGCGUAAAGGGCGCGUAGGCGGCUCAUGAAGGCUGUGGUGAAAGUCCGGGGCUCAACCCCGGGUCGGCCGUGCGAACUGCUGGGCUGGAGCACUGUAGAGGCAGGUGGAAUUCCGGGUGUAGCGGUGGAAUGCGUAGAGAUCCGGAAGAACACCGGUGGCGAAGGCGGCCUGCUGGGCAGUAGCUGACGCUGAGACGCGAAAGCGUGGGGAGCGAACAGG
rnacentral:rRNA from 1 species